rnacentral:rRNA from 1 species
UACGUAGGCAGCGAGCGUUGUUCGGAGUUACUGGGCGUAAAGGGUGUGUAGGCGGUUUUUCUAAGUUUGGUGUGAAAUCUCCCGGCUCAACCGGGAGGGUGCGCCGAAAACUGGGAGACUAGAGUGCGGGAUGGGAGAGUAGAAUUCCUGGUGUAGCGGUGAAAUGCGUAGAUAUCAGGAGGAAUACCGGUGGUGUAGACGGCUCUCUGGACCGCCACUGACGCUGAGACACGAAAGCGUGGGUAGCAAACAGG